GAUGAACGCUGGCGGCAUGCCUAAUACAUGCAAGUCGAGCGAACGGACGAGAAGCUUGCUUCCAUGCAGUUAGCGGCGGACGGGUGAGUAACACGUAGAUAACCUACAUAUAAGACUGGGACAACUUCGGGAGACCGGAGAUAAUACAGGAUGAUAUUUUGAACCGCAUGGAUCAAAAGUGAAAGACGGUCUGGCUGUCACUUAUAGAUGGAUCCGAGCUGCAUUAGCUAGUUGGUAAGGUAACGGCUUACCAAGGCAACGAUGUGUAGCCGACCUGAGAGGGUGAUCAGCCACACUGGAACUGAGACACGGUCCAGACUCCUACGGGAGGCAGCAGUGGGGAAUCUUCCACAAUGGGCGAAAGCCUGACGGAGCAACGCCGCGUGAGUGAUGAAGGUCUUCGGAUCGUAAAGCUCUGUUAUUAGGGAAGAACAUAAGUGUGAGUAACUGUGCACAUCAUGACGGUACCUAAUGAGAAAGCCACGGCUAACUACGUG
rnacentral:rRNA from 1 species